UGCUGCUGCUCACGGUGAUGUACUGCUUCCAGUAGGUUACAUCUGGACACAUGCACCAUGAGAUCUGUUCAUGAUCUUAUUUUAGUGCCACACUUCAAACAUGUUUCUAUUGUUAAUAUGUGGAACUUUGAACUUCUUCAGCUGAAUCCAGCCUUUUCUGAACCCCUCUGCACCCUGACCUUCUCAGCCCAUGCUCGCUCCUCUCUUGGAUGCCGUGUCUCCACAGGAACCCCCCUACCAGCACUGGGUCGGACCCCAGGGUGUUGUCCUGCGGCUCGGCCGUUAGAGGGAAGCCAGUGACACUGCAGAGCAUCUCCUCUCCUGGUGUCGAUGUAAUUACUGUGGCGAGCUGAUAAACUGCUCUCACAGGACUCACUGUCAGCAGGAAGGAGGAGGAGGAGGAGGAGCAGCAGAGGACGACAGGAGGAGAGAAGGUCUCAUCCCCAAAACACAUCUGCUGUUCAGUGACUAAGGACCUGGAACGUCUGCUGACGGUUGCCAUAACAACCAUCAUGCAUCGCUCAGUGUGUCACAUCAUCCAGCGCAGGGUGUCAAAAGGACCAUAAAGGACCAUAUGCUGGGAUCCUGCAGAGAUGACGCCACACAUGGAAUAAAGACAAUGAUACCACACAAUAAUCUUCUACUUCCAUCUGUUGGUUCAGCAGCUUUCAGGGAGGCAGCGUGGUGAGGUUAAAAUGGCUCAGAGAAGACCGAACUGUUUCCUGGUGGACCCUCCCCCACCCCCCUGUGACAGAGAGCCGGUCCCCUGUAGAUGGAGGGAGAAUGAAACCCCGGCCCAGUUACCUUCAGCAUUAGAGCGGAUGUUAGAACCCGGUCAAGCCGCUUGUUGAAAAACACCAGCAGCUGCAACUGUGGAGAGACAAACCAGUCACAGGGAGGCGGGGGGAGGAUUCCACAUGACACACAACACCUGACACGACUCCACUCUCAGAGUCGGAGUUAUUAUUCUACAGCUAUCUGCAUCUAUUAGCUGGCCAUGCUGGCACAGACAUGGGCAUCAUCUAUUUUUGGAGUUGCCUAGC